ACCCCCUCGUAUUCCGUCUCUCCUGUGCGUUUCUGCAGGAAUGCUGUGCAGGGUUUUGCGUUGGCUGCAGUUGGCUGUGUCCUCCAUCACCCAGCUGCUCCUUCACACCACUGAGCAUCCCAGGGAAUCACCCAGCACAGCCUGAACUGCAGGCUGGGAGAGAGAGAGAGAGCGAAAUGAAACCCCAUGGUGAUCCAAAAGAGUGUGUGGGGCUGUUCCUGGACAUCAAACACUCCAUAUUAUGCCUGCAUGUAGGUGAAGUGAUGUUGGUCAUGGGACAGAAUGACAGAUUCCCUUCUCCCUCUGACCAGUAAAGUGGAAUUUUAAAAACUGUUAUUACAAAGCUGCUGUUUGAAGAGGAGAAUGACUGGUUCUGGAGGACUUCUCUUCCAGAGCAACAAGGACUUCUUUCCUUUGCCUUUUUUCCAUGAUGACAUCCUGAAGCUACAUAGCUGUAAGGAAGGUAAAAUUAAGCUGGGAAAGCAUCUUUCUUAUUAAAUGUGUUCACAUAUAUACUCAUGUAUGUGUAUGCAAUUUGAAAAGUAAAAGCAAAUGAC
rnacentral:lncRNA from 1 species